AUUGAACGCUGGCGGCAGGCCUAACACAUGCAAGUCGAACGGUAACAGGAAUCAGCUUGCUGAUUCGCUGACGAGUGGCGGACGGGUGAGUAAUGUCUGGGAAACUGCCUGAUGGAGGGGGAUAACUACUGGAAACGGUAGCUAAUACCGCAUAACGUCGCAAGACCAAAGAGGGGGACCUUCGGGCCUCUUGCCAUCGGAUGUGCCCAGAUGGGAUUAACUAGUAGGUGGGGUAAUGGCUCACCUAGGCGACGAUCCCUAGCUGGUCUGAGAGGAGGACCAGCCACACUGGAACUGAGACACGGUCCAGACUCCUACGGGAGGCAGCAGUGGGGAAUAUUGCACAAUGGGCGCAAGCCUGAUGCAGCCAUGCCGCGUGUAUGAAGAAGGCCUUCGGGUUGUAAAGUACUUUCAGCGAGGAGGAAGGUGUUGAGGUUAAUAACCUUAGCAAUUGACGUUACUCGCAGAAGAAGCACCGGCUAACUCCGUGCCAGCCGCCGCCGUAA
rnacentral:rRNA from 1 species